UUAAAUAGAAGAGUUUCAAGAUGGUCAUCUCGUACUAACCUGAAAGGCUGAAUGAAGCCCCUUAAAACACCCUACGGAAAGUGAACCUGAUGACCAUCUUCAUCUCCAAACCUAAAACUUCACAAUGCACUUCUCACGAAUCUUGAGACACAUUUAUCAAAACCUCACCAAAUUCUAUCACAGCAACGUUCAGUCUUUGUCACGUUGCCACUUAAAAUCUCAUGGAAAGACACCGUCAAAGGCGUCUUCACCGGGAAGAAGUCAUCCUCAGAAGACCCCAAUAUCACCUCUCAGUCUUUCUCUCUCCUUCGUAAAUUCCCGUCAUUCUUUGACUUAUCUUAGAGAAAAAAAGGUGAACUUAUGAUAGUUUUGUUGUGAAAGUUUAUUGAUUUUGUUUGUUGAGUUUGCUGAUGGGUUAAAUAAUGCAAGAAAGUUGGGUACUUCUAAGAAUUACAUAUUGGGUAGAAGCAGUGAAGCCACGUUUGCUAAUGCCUUUGAGAAACAGGAAGCCAUUCUUCGGUAUCUCGGUGAUUUGAUCCCAAAGGAGAGGUUUUUUUUUUAAAUGAUUUAUUUACCGUAAAAUACAUAUUGUACUCAGUCAUUGUGUAUUUUGGAGUUAGAGUCAAUACCACUAUGUAGUCUAUUACAAAUAUGAUUAAGCAGAAAUGCAAUGGUAAUAAGAAGUUGUAAUAACUCACACCAAACUAACUUUAAUAUUGAACUGAGAAGUUGUAUUGAAUAACAACCCUGGUUGUAACAAAUUUGACACAUCAAAAUCAAUUUAGCAAUGUCUUAUGUGGCGAAAUCUGAACACAUUCCCUCCUAGUAUACCAGCUUCCAUACUGCCUCACAUACACUGCCCACAUUUUGUGCUACAGAACGUCAGAAUUCUCUUUCGAUUAUAAUUUUACCUAGCAAUUUUCGCACGUUUGGUGUUGCAUAUCAUAAGCUGUGGAUAUCCAUGUUAGAAACUUGGCAUUGUGGUAUGGAUAGUGAAUUUGAAUCCUGGUUUGUCAAUUUUCUGUGUCUUUUUCUAAAUGUGACAUGCAUAGAUACACUUAUUGCAUAUGGUUGAGUGUCCUAAUUAUGGGUUUAGGUUUCUUGGUUUGUAGAAAAUCCAAAGCAGUCAAAAGCUGUGAAGCAGUGUAAUGCACAAUAACUGAUCUGAGAAUGCCCUUGCUAAUCUUACAUGGGCUAAAGAAUGUAGAGAAUUUAAAGGCAGAAGGGAAACCAAUGCCCAAGAGCAAGGCUGAGAUUCAAAAGAUGAUGGGGUCAACUCCACUAGAUGUUGCCAGGUCCAAUUUGUCUAAGAGUGGGUGGAUCAGUAGAUAUGCGCUCUGUCCUUGUGGUUCCAAGAAGAGAUAUUAACAAUGAGAUAUUGGUGCCUGUGGCAGAUGCAAAAGACUGCAACAAGGUGUGGAACUGUAAAGGCGGCACACGUUGCUGGAAUGACUGUAAAAACCGUUACAAUGGCACGGGGCUCUGUGAUU